GCGUACAGCUCGAUCACGUGAUGAGGGUAAUCUCUUGCUUUGCGUUUUUACGUUGCUUGUGUGAAGAAAUGAAAAUUCCAUAUAACACGAUUGAGUGUAUAUUUAAAUACUAGUUUUAAUGGUGAGGUAAAUGUUGAAGAGUGCUAGGAUGCAGGUGUUCUUGAGGUGAUUUCCUGUGGCUUUGUUGCUAGAGCACCAGUGCGGACACUGUGGGACUAGCUACAAGGACAUGGGAGACGGACAGCAUGGAGCUUUGAAGAGCGAUUAUGCUGAAACUCCCUGGAUUCUGUUCAGUGGACUGUGCCCAAGGACACCCUCCAUUUAAAAAUAAUGUGUAAAUCUUGUGCGGUUGGAACCCAUUUUAUAAUGGGUGACUGCCUUGAGCACUGGGGAGACUCUGGGGGGGGCACCUGGGGGCGGGGAAGGCAUGUAUGUAAAUAGUUGUGGUUUUGAUUUUUACAAUAUGAAUAUACAGUGUGUUAAAUAAAGUUUUCAAUUUUUUA